GGGUCAGUAGGUUGGUCGUGCCACCGGUACGUACUGGUCUCACUGAUUCCUCCUUCCUGAAGAACCGUAAUGCCAUUAAUUUGGUGUUGCGGGGAAACAGGACUGUUACUUUGAAAAAAUUAGAGUGUUUAAAGCAAGCUAACGCUUGAAUAAAUUAGCAUGGAAUAAUGAAAUAGGACGAUCGAUCCUAUUUUGUUGGUUUCUAGGAUUGACGUA
rnacentral:rRNA from 1 species